CUAAAGCAAUCUCCCGUUUCUCUCCUUUUAGUCAUGCAAAUGGAAAAGCUCUUUCAGAUGACUCAAAGAAGAUGAAGAACAAAGCAAAUAACCAGCAGGCAAAAGGAAGAACACAUCAAAGAGAAGAAGAAGAAAUUCAAGGAUUUAUAGUGUUUCAGUGUUUAAACACCUACAUCCACUGUGAAAGUAGCAGGUAAAACUCUUUAUUUAGCAGAAAUUUCAAAUUUCAAUUGUAGAUUACAAAAAUGAAUCUCACUCUCUUUUUUUCACUCCUUCAUUUGAAUGCAUGUAUUUAUACAGCUUUAAUACCUUCCUUUUCUUCUUCUUUUCAUGUAUUUUCUGAGUUGUAUAAGGAGAUCAAGGGUGGAGAUUAAUUUUGUUUUAACCAUCAGGUCUUACAAGAGAUUCUCAUACUUGGGGAGAAUCGAAGUUUUCCAAGUGAUCUGGUUUUCAUUUAAAGGUGGAAAGAUAAAAGUUCUUGGUGAGAGGGAAUCUCAUGUAAGAAACAGCUCGAGUUUUAGCAAAAGUCGCUCUCCUGGUUGAAAGGUCUGAAAGAGAACGUUGUUCUAGGGGAGGGAUGAUACCCGUUGGUACCGGAUUCAAAGGAUUGGUGCAUCGUUCGAGGCAAUAUAACAACCUCACAAUGUGCUUGGAUCAACCUCAACCUGGCUGCUUACCGAAGGGGGACCUUAAGGUUCAUUAAAAGAGAGUCCACACUUAGGGGAAAACUAAGUGAUCGUUCACUAAUAUUCUCACACUUAGGGUUUCAUUGAGAGGGGAUCUCACAUUUAGGGCAAGUCUAAGUGAUCAUUCACGAAGUAAAGCUACUCGUGUGUUAUUGUAAUUGUUAUUUAUUUAUAGAUAAGCACAACGUUGUAAUCGUUUGACUUUAUAUUAGUGAAAUUAUCUUUCCUAA